GUUAUAUGGUCAAGUGACUAAGCGUGCACGGUGGAUGCCUUGGCAUCUGGAGGCGAUGAAAGACGUGGUAGCCUGCGAUAAGCUUCGGGAAGGUGGCAAACAACCUGUGAUCCGAAGAUCUCUGAAUGGGGAAACCCACCUGUCAUAAGGCAGGUAUCUUAUGGUGAAUACAUAGCCAUAAGAGGCAAACCUGGGGAACUGAAACAUC
rnacentral:rRNA from 1 species